UUAAGUUCAGCGGGUAUUCCUACCUGAUCCGAGGUCAACCUUUUAGAAAUUGGGGUGUUUUAUGGCAGGGGACCUGGUCCGGGCUACAGGCGAUGUGUAAAAGCUACUACGUCUGGAGUGCGAACCGGCUCCGCCACUGACUUUAGGGAGCUACAGGAGAGUCUCCAGUAGUCUCCCAACGCUAAGCAACGAGGGCUUAA
rnacentral:misc_RNA from 1 species